CUCUACAUUAAUAGUAGAGAAACAAAAUGGGAUUUAGGAUUGAAGCGGUUCUUCAUGAAAACUAUUAUGUAGAAAAACUUCUCUAGGUACAAAAUUCUUUUGUUCAACAAAGAGAUUGAUCUAUAAAAUUUUCUCAUUCUCCACAGUCCACACGAAGUCCAAAUACAAUAAAGAUAUUUAGUUAGUGGGAUUUGACUAUAUUUCCGAGGGAGACCAAGUUCGACUUGGGGCAAUUACUUUGGUGGGUUUAGCUGGAGACUGAUUGGUGCAUGUACAUCAUAUCCAUUGUUGAUUACAUGUGUGGCCUGGACACCCCCAUUCGGUUCACUUCCGCAUCCUUGCUUAGAAAUCUGGAAUAGUCAUGGGACCUGAACAUUCAGGUCGCGUGAGAUUGUAUGGACGAGGGGUUACCAAGACUGUAUUAAAAGGGCAAAAAGGGAAUCUUGGAUCUUCUUUAGAUGCUACUGAUGAGAGGAUGCAGCAGAAAAUGGAGGAAAUGGAGGAGAGGAUGCAACAAAGAAUGCAUGAAAUGUUGAACGAACAAAAGGAUGCUAUAGAACAAAAUAUUACAAUGAACGUCAUCGCACGACUUCAGCGUUUGAACCCAGAUUUGCGACUUGAUCCUGACAUGUUAAGGUUCAAUGCACGUUCACCUGUAGAAGCUUCCUCUGCAGACAAGCUGAUGUUCAACUAAACAGUCGACCAUCUGCUGGUAGUAAAAAUCAAGGCUAGUACGUACCAAAUGUUAUACAUCUUCGUCUAUUUCUUCUUCUUCUCCUCCUUCCUUGCUUGGGAUUUUGGUUUGGUCAAGUCUGAGUGGAUAUGGUAAUAUCCUUUUUUCUUCCUAUAGAUGUGCCUAUUUCGGUAUUAUUGGUAUCCAACUUCUCUGUGACAGACUGAGAGUCAAUGGUUGAGGUUGUAGUUGUGGUUGGGACUUGGGACUUAUGUGUCAAACUUGGUUGUCUUGUUUGGGGUUCCUGCUUUUUCGGGCAGUGCACUUUAAGGGUGUAAAGUAGGUUGAGUUUGAGUUUCCUUAUGGGAAAUGAUUACUCUGUGUAGACAAAUCAGUUGUCAGGAACUCCUCAACGAAACACGAUUUGAAUUUGGAAUGGAUUUGAAUUUAUUCUUAUUUCCUUUUUUGGUGGCUGGCUCCUGCCGGAGUUCAUUGAACUGAUUCAUUGAUUCUUGAAGUUUUUUCCUCAAACCAUUCACAACAGAAGUUCUUGUUCUUUAAGAAGAACUACCAGGGCCACAACCAGCUAUACUUCUAUUAGCAGCAUUAGAUCUGUCUAAAGCUUCUAAACGGACUUUAAUAAAUUUGGCUUUUUUCAAAGCUAUUGAAAUAUCAUUAUCCAUCUUUGUUCUAACAUCUUUGACAGUUUUUGCAUUGUACAGAGUCUUGCUCUGUUUGUGUGAGUUGUGGAGUUGAGAGUGAAGCUUUUCAAGUUGUUUAAGCUCGUCUUUUAUAGCUUCUACAUCUUCAAAAAGCUUGUCAAGACUCUUUGAAUUAUUCUAAAGUUGUUCAAGCUCGUCUUUUAUACUUAAUAUGGAGCAAUACAAUUAAAAAUAUUUCUCAAAACUUUCUCCUUUACCUACUACAACUAUGCAUACCAUUCUUUUCUUUUCUACUAACCUAAAAUUAUUACAAUAUAAUAGGACAUAAACAUAGGCCAAAAUUACAAAACCUUCUAAAUCAAGAUGCUAAUACAAACUAAACACUAUGUACAAGUUCAAUACUAUCUUUUUUAGAGUCCUAAUCUUCUGUCUUUUGUACCUGAAUAGGCUUGAAAGUAUAGAAUUUUGCACAAAACAGAUAGUAAAUCAAGUUAAUCACUUGUAUAAUUGUGAUUAACCAAUAAAAAAUACUCUAAUUUUCCCUUUCUCAAAUUAUUAUCAGGUAACCAAUUUGAUCCUCCAGAUCCUGAAGUAAAUUUAUGCACUAAUGAAACCCAAAGUGUACUCAGAUAAUUCCCAGCUGAAAUUGAUGUCCAGAAUAAUGCAGUAGCUGUACUUCUCAUACUCUCUGGUGCUUUAUCAUAGAAAAAUUCAAGAUGUCCAAUUGACAUAAAUGUCUCAGCCACACCAUGUAAGCAAUACUGAGGCACUAGCCAAAAUACUGAAAUGGGAACAAUCGCCUUACCUUUA